rnacentral:rRNA from 1 species
GACGAACGCUGGCGGCGUGCUUAACACAUGCAAGUCGAACGGAAAGGCCCUGCUUUUGUGGGGUGCUCGAGUGGCGAACGGGUGAGUAACACGUGAGUAACCUGCCCUUGACUUUGGGAUAACUUCAGGAAACUGGGGCUAAUACCGGAUAGGAGCUCCCGCUGCAUGGUGGGGGUUGGAAAGUUUCGGCGGUUGGGGAUGGACUCGCGGCUUAUCAGCUUGUUGGUGGGGUAGUGGCCUACCAAGGCUUUGACGGGUAGCCGGCCUGAGAGGGUGACCGGCCACAUUGGGACUGAGAUACGGCCCAGACUCCUACGGGAGGCAGCAGUGGGGAAUAUUGCACAAUGGGCGGAAGCCUGAUGCAGCAACGCCGCGUGCGGGAUGACGGCCUUCGGGUUGUAAACCGCUUUCGCCUGUGACGAAGCGUGAGUGACGGUAAUGGGUAAAGAAGCACCGGCUAACUACGUGCCAGCAGCCGCGGU